rnacentral:lncRNA from 1 species
CUCAUUGCAGUUGCUAUGCUUUGAUAAUGUUCUACAGUCCCCAUGGAACCAUUCUCUGCUCUUCUAGGCAUGGUGAGGACGUUUUAAAGGACCUUGGCCAUUCUGCAGCACAAUGAAUGUCACCACCUUUGAAUCAGGAUAGACAAGAAAGAAGAGUACCGCAAAGGAGAAAAGAAGAAAGAAAACCAUUGUGCACUGAUUAUUUUCAUUUAUCUUGUUUCUGCUCUGAGCUAAUCUGGACACUGGACAGGACCAGCCAGCCUCCCCUGCCUGUGUCUCCUAACCUUUAACAUUUCAUAAAAUCUUCCAAUCCUUCAGAAAGAAGCCCCGCCCCAUACACAUGCGCAUGUGCACACAGGCACAUCCUCAGACGCCAGGUCCAUGGGCCACAGGUUAAGAGAGAACCUCCCUAAG